rnacentral:rRNA from 1 species
UUAACGGGAAAGAACUACAGGAUUCCCCUAGUAACUGCGAGUGAAGCGGGAAAAGCUCAAAUUUAAAAUCUGGCGGUCUUUGGCCGUCCGAGUUGUAGUCUGGAGAAGUGCUUUCCGCGCUGGACCGUGUAUAAGUCUCUUGGAACAGAGCGUCAUAGAGGGUGAGAAUCCCGUCUUUGACACGGACUACCAGUGCUUUGUGAUGCGCUCUCAAAGAGUCGAGUUGUUUGGGAAUGCAGCUCAAAAUGGGUGGUGAAUUCCAUCUAAAGCUAAAUAUUGGCGAGAGACCGAUAGCGAACAAGUACCGUGAGGGAAAGAUGAAAAGCACUUUGGAAAGAGAGUUAAACAGUACGUGAAAUUGCUGAAAGGGAAACGCUUGAAGUCAGUCGCGUCUGCCGGAACUCAGCCUUCCUCUCGGUUGGUGCAUUUCUGGAGACGGGCCAGCAUCGAUUUUGACCGUCGGAAAAGGGCUGGGGAAAUGUGGCACCUUUUGGUGUGUUAUAGUCUUCAGUCGCAUACGGCGGUCGGGAUCGAGGAACGCAGCGCGCCUCAAGGCAGGGGUUCGCCCCUUUCGCGCUUAUGAUGCUGGCAUAAUGGCUUUAAACGACCCGUCUUGAAACACGACCAAGGUGUCUAAAAACCUGCUAGUGUUCCGUGUAAACCCGAGCGCGAAUAAAGUGACAGUGAGACCUCUUCGUGAGGCAUCGACCCCGGACAGACGUUUCUGACGAUCCGCACAGAGCUGCUUGUGAGACCCCAAGAUGGGAAGUAUACUCAUAGGUGAAGCACAGGAACUCUGUGGAGCCCGUAUUAUUCUGAGUGCAAUCCUCACCAAUUUGGUAUGGGGCGAAGAUAAUUUACCUCUAGCUUGGUUCUGCUUAUUUUCUUUAAAAAAAUUUUUUUAUAUUUUAUUUUUAAUUUUUUCUUU